rnacentral:rRNA from 1 species
UACGUAGGCAGCGAGCGUUGUUCGGAAUUACUGGGCGUAAAGGGUGCGUAGGCGGUCGGGUAAGUCUAACGUGAAAUCUCCGAGCCUAACUCGGAAACUGCGUCGGAUACUAUUCGGCUAGAGGAAUGGAGGGGAGACUGGAAUUCUCGGUGUAGCAGUGAAAUGCGUAGAUAUCGAGAGGAACACCAGUGGCGAAGGCGAGUCUCUGGACAUUUCCUGACGCUGAGGCACGAAAGCCAGGGGAGCAAACGGG